AGGCACAUGGUGCUAUAAUGUAGUGGAAGUUUCCUAUUCGUAUUGUUUAUCAUGGUGAGGUUUAAACAGUUGCAAUUAAUUUUUGAGCGUUAUGAUUAUAGUCAAGUUUCUAUGAUUUUUCUUCAUGGUUGUUUCUAUUUUAUUUAAUUGAAGACCAAAUUGUUAAGGUGGUUUAUAUGACGACGAUGUGCACGUACGCGCGGUUGCAAGCAUUAAAGUUUGCUUUGGAAUUGGGGGAUGUUUUUUUUAUAGAAUUGGAUCUCAAGGUAUACCAUAAGUAAUUCAACUGUGAAAUUAGAUGAUCUAUAUAGUUGAUUUUCUAUAUUGCUUUGUUGUCUAAGAGCUUGUAAGCAUCUUGUUUGUUUUGCUACACUUUCUAAUGUAAUAGUUUUAUGUUUAGUGUGUUAACUCAAAGCAAUUUUGAUGUAAACUUGUGAGUAUCAUUUUCUACAUGAAUUGUGAGAAUCAAUUACUUGAUAUGUUUAGUAAAAUAAUGUGUGGGGAUGUUGUGUGUUUUAGAUUUUGUUAUAUUGAUAUUAAUGGGA
rnacentral:lncRNA from 1 species